rnacentral:lncRNA from 1 species
AAAAUUAUGUUAAUCCCUAAUUAAUAAAAAAAACAAGAAAAUCCCAAUUUAUACCCAGAUCAAAACAAUCAGCAUCAUGUUAAUCAACAAAAUUAAAUAAGAUUAAAAUAAAUUAGAAUCAUUAAGCAUGUACUAAUGGGGGAUUAUGGAAGACCAUGGGCCAUGGGGUGUGACCCAGUAUAGGGUGGUACAAGAAGAAGAACGCUUAGACCAUAGGCCUAAGCUCCCAAACAAUCCAAUAUGCCAAAAUUGGAUCAUGACGUUUCCCUAGCCUCAUGAACCAAGCUCCACGCACCCUCAACACCAUAUCCAUACAAACGAAAUAGUACGUGCAACACAUGAACCAAGCUUCCAAUCCUACGAACACGAAAUUUGCUUACUCGGUAGCUCCUGACUUCUAGCUAAACAUGGAGCUAUCAAAUGCGGCAUGAGGAAUCGCUUCGAAUUCACUUCAAUCUUGCAUGAAUAACUAAGGAUCUCAAAGAAUGAAGAAUUAAGAACAGUGGAAUCCACACGGAAUUUCAACACCACGAAGGAACAAGACCGAAAUUGAGUAUGAUUUUCCUUUGCACACACGAAAGAGAAGAGAUUGAACGGAAAAGAACUCACUGGAUUCAACGCUAACUCCCAAUGAUUUCAUCUCUUCUUUCGCUUAUGCAUGGUUGUUGUUGUUUUUAAUCUCGUCUUGAUGUGUGGAUUGAGGCGUGAUGGUGAAGAACAAAGAUAUUCAAUUGUUGUUUUUCGAUUCCCGAUUGUGAAAAGGUGAGAACCCUUUUGUUUUUUGAAUCACAAUGCCUCUGUUAUCUUCUCUCUUAUCUGCUAUGCAUCUGUUAGCUUUCGUCUUUUGAGUUCUUUCUGGUUGUGAAGUUAGAAGUUUGGUUAGGCUUUGGUCCAAGGUUAAGGGUGCUUACAUGUUUGUUUUCUCUUGGUUAAAAGUGGGAAGUUUGAGGUUAUGAAGGUUGAGAGGGAUUGAAGAGUCAGAGAUUGUUAGAGUUGUUAAGAGGGUGAUGAAGGUUCUGGAAAUCGUAUGGACUAAAGAGGGUGUUGAAGGGUUGUGUGGCUUUUAGGUGAGUGAAGGUGAGAGAGGAAAUUGAAGUCAGUUUUUUUAGGGUCGGUAUGAGGGAGAUUGAAGAGGUAUUGUUAAAUUAGUUAUGGAGGUUCAGAGUCUUUUUGCAAGUUUUGGAAAUUUACUGCAGGACUCAUUGAGGGUUCUUGGAAGGUUCGAUCCUAAUUCUGGUUUAUUGGAGGUUGAGGAAGUUAUUAAAAGGGUGAAUCGUGAAGUUCGAGAGUUCCCCCAUUGGAAGUUGAUAUGGAAUGUUUAAGAGGUUUUUUGUUGAGGGAGUUAGAGGAGGUUCUGAAAUGAGUUUGAAGGAGUUUGUUAUGGUAGUUAAGAGGUUGAGAAAUUAUGUUUUGUUAGUUCUGUUAUGAGGGUUCUCGAGUUCAGGGUUAGUGAAAAACAAUUAGAGGUCGUUGUUAGGUUUGUUGGCAGUUAGGUUAUGUUAAGGUAGAUUCGGUUAGUUAGAAAGGAUUGAAAUGGUUUUGUGAAUCAGUUGAUUAUAAGAAUAGUGAAGUUGUGAAUUUUUAGUUAGAAGUUUAACUAUGAACUCAUUUAGUUAGUGGUGAGUUGAGAAGUAGUUGGAAAAUGGUUAGGAAAAAGAGAAGUUGGUUUAUUUUAUUUUAUUAGGUUCUCAUUGUGAUUUCGCUGCUGCUACUUAUCAUGUAUGUGUGUUCUGUUGAUAUGCUUUUUUGAUGUGAAGUUAAAACGUAUAUUUUUGGCUUUGCUCAAUUUUAACCUUGUUUUGCUUCUUGUUGCAGAAUCCUUUUGGCCAUGUUUGGAUAGUCUCAUUUUGAGUUUACUUUUGUAUUCUCUCUCAUCAUUCAUGUUCCAUGUUCAAUGUAGGUAUUACUUCAUGGAGGAUGGUGGUUGAACCAAGGCAACAUGAUGACCAAUUUGGAUUAUAAAGCAUGAUGUGCUCGAGGUAAUCCAAAGAAUCAAGAUGGAAUUUGAAGAUUAGGAUUAAGAUUAGAAUGGGGAUUUAGGGAUUUAGGAUGAAAAAAGGGUUAGGGUUGACUUUGGUCAAAGUUGACCAAAAAGUCAAUUGUUUACCAAAGUCAACAUUUUGUCAUAAUAUUUUUUGCAUUUUUUUGAUGCAAUGAACAUUGUAACGGGUUGUAAUGAUGGAAUUUGCUUAUAUUUGAAUGAAAUUGAAUUGGUAUUGAAUUGAAUCUUGUAUAUGAAA